AAUGCUAAUACCGCAUAACAACUUUAAACAUAAGUUUUAAGUUUGAAAGAUGCAAUUGCAUCACUCAAAGAUGGACCCGCGGUGCAUUAGCUAGUUGGUGAGGUAACGGCUCACCAAGGCCACGAUGCAUAGCCGACCUGAGAGGGUGAUCGGCCACAUUGGGACUGAGACACGGCCCAAACUCCUACGGGAGGCAGCAGUAGGGAAUCUUCGGCAAUGGACGAAAGUCUGACCGAGCAACGCCGCGUGAGUGAAGAAGGUUUUCGGAUCGUAAAACUCUGUUGUUAGAGAAGAACAAGGAUGAGAGUAACUGUUCAUCCCUUGACGGUAUCUAACCAGAAAGCCACGGCUAACUACGUGCCAGCAGCCGCGGUAAUACGUAGGUGGCAAGCGUUGUCCGGAUUUAUUGGGCGUAAAGCGAGCGCAGGUGGUUUAUUAAGUCUGGUGUAAAAGGCAGUGGCUCAACCAUUGUAUGCAUUGGAAACUGGGAGACUUGAGUGCAGAAGAGGAGAGUGGAAUUCCAUGUGUAGCGGUGAAAUGCGUAGAUAUAUGGAGGAACACCAGUGGCGAAGGCGGCUCUCUGGUCUGUAACUGACGCUGAGGCUCGAAAGCGUGGGGAGCAAACAGGAUUAGAUACCCUGGUAGUCCACGCCGUAAACGAUGAGUGCUAGAUGUAGGGAGCUAUAAGUUCUCUGUAUCGCAGCUAACGCAAUAAGCACUCCGCCUGGGGAGUACGACCGCAAGGUUGAAACUCAAAGGAAUUGACGGGGGCCCGCACAAGCGGUGGAGCAUGUGGUUUAAUUCGAAGCAACGCGAAGAACCUUACCAGGUCUUGACAUCCUUGUGCUAUUCCUAGAGAUAGGAAGUUCCUUCGGGACACGGGAUACAGGUGGUGCAUGGUUGUCGUCAGCUCGUGUCGUGAGAUGUUGGGUUAAGUCCCGCAACGAGCGCAACCCUUAUUGUUAGUUGCCAUCAUUCAGUUGGGCACUCUAGCAAGACUGCCGGUGACAAACCGGAGGAAGGUGGGGAUGACGUCAAAUCAUCAUGCCCCUUAUGACCUGGGCUACACACGUGCUACAAUGGAUGGUACAACGAGUCGCGAGACAGUGAUGUUUAGCUAAUCUCUUAAAACCAUUCUCAGUUCGGAUUGCAGGCUGCAACUCGCCUGCAUGAAGCCGGAAUCGCUAGUAAUCGCGGAUCAGCACGCCGCGGUGAAUACGUUCCCGGGCCUUGUACACACCGCCCGUCACACCACGAGAGUUGGGAGUACCCGAAGUAGGUGAGGUAACCUUUGGAGCCAGCC
rnacentral:rRNA from 1 species